rnacentral:lncRNA from 1 species
GCUAACACAUCUCGGCUCGUGUUUACAUUAAGUCUUCAGGAAGCUCUUCAGCUACACUGACGAUUGGACACUUCAUGUUUUGAUGUAUGGAAUUCCCUGUUUAAACACACAGCUCGCAAAAGUAGGAUAUUUUGCAGGAAAAGACCAAAAGUAAAAGAAUAAAAAUAUGAACGAAAAAUUAUAAUAAUGGAUGGAUUAUUGGCGUGUAUUUUUGUAGGCCUCUGAAAAUAUUCCAAUGUGAUUGUUUUACCAUAGGAUGAACGAUAUAUGGGAUAAAAAUUAUAUUGG